AUGGGUCACAUUAAGAAACUCCGCACGGAAUCCUUUCCGGAUUUUUAUUUCCUCGGAUUUAGAUUUUUAACGGUCUCAGGGAAAAAAAAAAAAAAAAAAAAAGCAAAACCGAAAGGAAAGCCCGAGACGCGGGGGCCCGGCCGCGCUCCCUCCAGCACGGGGUGGGGGAUCGCUCUUCCCGGCUGUCGCGCUCCCUCCGACGGAGCGAAGGAGCGCGGCCUCUUCAACUGCGGCUGCUGCGGCUGCUGCCCACGCACAGCCCGGGCAAACCCGCGCCCCGCACACCCACCGCGGCCCCGACGCGCCCGGCCGCGGUCGCGCCGAAGCCCCGCGCCCCCGCGGCAAGCGCCGUGUAGGCAGCGGGAGCGGGCGCGGGGCCGCGGCCGAUCGCUCCCGGGCCGCCGCCGCCGCCGCCGCCGCCGCCGCCGCCGCGGGAGGCUCCCGCAGCCCUCGGGCCGCCGCUCGGCCCGGGCGGGAGGGCGCGGGGCCGCCGGGCGCUCCCCCGGGGCCCCGCCGCCGCCCGCCGCCCCCGCGGCCGGGCCUCGUCCCGCGGGCAGCCCCGCCGCGACGGCGCGGAGCCGCCCGGCGGCGACGGGCGGGGCGCGGAGCGACCCCCGCGCCCCGUCCCGCGUCCCCGCCGGGGCCGGUCGCGCCGCCGCCGCCCGCGGGACGAGGCCCGCGUCCCCCGCCGGCGCCGGCCGCCCCGAGGGACGGUCCCGCCGCCACCUGCCCGCGGCCCGGCGGGGGACGCGCGCUGCUACCUACCCCGGGCAGGGCAGGAGCUGGGAGCCGCCGUCGGGCCGGGAGCGGAGCGGGCAGCGGAGCGGCCGGGGCCCCGCUCCGCCGCCAUCCUCGGCGGCCGCGCUCGCUCGCUCGCUGGCUCGCUCGCCCCCCCACCCCCCCGCCCCGGCCCCCGGCCCCCGGCCCGCGGGGGCGCCGCCCCGGCCCGCACCGCCGCCCGGCCGCGCCGGCCGCCCCGGGGUGCGCGGAGCCCGCCCGCCCCGCGCCCCGGGCGCCGCCGCGCUUCGGGGGCCGCGGGGGCCCGGCGGGGCCGGGGCACUAUUUGACGUCGAGGAGACGGAUCACCGCGGCGCAGCGAUACGGCGCGCACCAAUGGAGUUCAAAUGUCAGCAAGUUUGA
rnacentral:lncRNA from 1 species